UACGUAGGGUCCGAGCGUUGUCCGGAAUUACUGGGCGUAAAGCGUGCGCAGGCGGCUUUCCAAGCGCCACGUGAAAGCCCCCGGGCUUAACCUGGGAAUUGCGAUGGAGACUGCAAGGCUAGAAUCUGGCAGAGGGGGGUAGAAUUCCACGUGUAGCAGUGAAAUGCGUAGAGAUGUGGAGGAACACCGAUGGCGAAGGCAGCCCCCCUGGGUCAAGAUUGACGCUCAUGCACGAAAGCGUGGGGAGCAAACAGG
rnacentral:rRNA from 1 species